rnacentral:piRNA from 1 species
UGCAGUGGAGAAAACCUGAUGGAGCAUGGUA